UACGUAGGGUGCGAGCGUUAAUCGGAAUUACUGGGCGUAAAGCGUGCGCAGGCGGUUAUGUAAGACAGAGGUGAAAUCCCCGGGCUCAACCUGGGAACUGCCUUUGUGACUGCAUGACUAGAGUACGGCAGAGGGGGAUGGAAUUCCGCGUGUAGCAGUGAAAUGCGUAGAGAUGCGGAGGAACACCGAUGGCGAAGGCAAUCCCCUGGGCCUGUACUGACAACCAUGGACGAAAGCUAGGGGAGCGAAAGGG
rnacentral:rRNA from 1 species